rnacentral:rRNA from 1 species
CGUAACGCGUAUGCAACCUACCAUCAACAGGGGGAUAACACUUAGAAAUAGGUGCUAAUACCGCAUAAGCGCACAGAGCCGCAUGGCUCAGUGUGAAAAACUCCGGUGGUGUAAGAUGGAUCCGCGUCUGAUUAGCUGGUUGGCGGGGUAGAAGCCCACCAAGGCGACGAUCAGUAGCCGGCCUGAGAGGGUGAACGGCCACAUUGGGACUGAGACACGGCCCAAACUCCUACGGGAGGCAGCAG